rnacentral:miRNA from 1 species
CUUUGUUGAUGGCCAUCUAAUC